UCCUGCCAGUAGUCAUAUGCUUGUCUCAAAGAUUAAGCCAUGCAUGUCUAAGUAUAAAUAGUAUACAGUGAAACUGCGAAUGGCUCAUUAAAACAGUUAUAGUUUAUUUGAUAAUUGACAAUUACAUGGAUAACCGUGGUAAUUCUAGAGCUAAUACAUGCUUAAACGCCCGACUUUAUGGAAGGGUGGUAUUUAUUAGACUGAAGCCAAUAUUCCUUGUGUCUAUUGCGGUGAUUCAUAAUAACUGAUCGAAUCUCUUUUUGAGAUAAAUCAUUCAAGUUUCUGCCCUAUCAGCUUUCGAUGGUAGUGUAUUGGACUACCAUGGCAGUAACGGGUAACGAAGAAUUAGGGUUCGAUUUCGGAGAGGGAGCAUGAGAAACGGCUACCACAUCUAAGGAAGGCAGCAGGCGCGUAAAUUACCCAAUCCUGACUCAGGGAGGUAGUGACAAGAAAUAGCAAACCGGGAACCUCAUGGUUUCACGGUAUUGCAAUGAGAACAAUUUAAAACCCUUAGCGAGAAUCAAGUGGAGGACAAGUCUGGUGCCAGCACCCGCGGUAAUUCCAGCUCCACUAGCGUAUAUUAAAGUUGUUGCAGUUAAAAAGCUCGUAGUUGAACCUCUGUCUGGGGCUAGUUUUGGCUUUGGUCAGGCUAGUUCUAGGCAUCCGCCUACAAGACUUAGAGGGCAUUCAGUUGUUCACUAGGAGGAGUAGGCAUUUUACUUUGAAAAAAUUAGAGUGUUUAAGGCAGGCAAUCGCCCGCAUAUAUUAGCAUGGAAUAAUAGAAUAGGACACUUUUCCAUUUCGUUGGUUAUUGGAAUCGUGUAAUGAUUAAUAGGGACAGUUGUGGGCAUUUGUAUUUAACUGUCAGAGGUGAAAUUCUUGGAUUUAUUAAAGACAAACUAACGCGAAAGCAUUUGCCAAGGAUGUUUUCAUUAAUCAAGAACGAAAGUUAGGGGAUCAAAGACGAUCAGAUACCGUCCUAGUCUUAACUAUAAACUAUUCCGACUCAAUGUUUGACUGGCUUAUAUAACCAGUUGAGCGUUGUAUGAGAAAUCAAAGUCUUUAGGUUCUGGGGGGAGUAUGGUUGCAAAGCUGAAACUUAAAGGAAUUGACGGAAGAGCACAACCAGGAGUGGAUUCUGCGGCUUAAUUUGACUCAACACGGGGAAACUUACCAGGUUAAAACAAUAGUGGGAUUGACAGUUUGAGAGCGCUUUCUUGAUUGGUUGGGUGGUGGUGCAUGGCCGUUCUUAGUUGGUGGAGUGAUUUGUCUGCUUAAUUGCGUUAACGAACGAGACCUUAACC
rnacentral:rRNA from 1 species